GUUAUAUGGUCAAGUGAAGAAGCGCAUACGGUGGAUGCCUUGGCAGUCAGAGGCGAUGAAAGACGUGGUAGCCUGCGAUAAGCUUCGGGGAGUCGGCAAACAGACUUUGAUCCGGAGAUCUCUGAAUGGGGGAACCCAACCAGCACAAGCUGGUUAUCUUGCACUGAAUACAUAGGUGCAAGAGGCGAACCAGGGGAACUGAAACAUCUAAGUACCCUGAGGAAAAGAAAUCAACCGAGAUUCCCUUAGUAGUGGCGAGCGAACGGGGACUAGCCCUUAAGUGGCUUUGAGAUUAGCGGAACGCUCUGGAAAGUGCGGCCAUAGUGGGUGAUAGCCCUGUACGCGAAAAUCUCUUGGCCAUGAAAUCGAGUAGGACGGAGCACGAGAAACUUUGUCUGAAUAUGGGGGGACCAUCCUCCAAGGCUAAAUACUACUGACUGACCGAUAGUGAACCAGUACCGUGAGGGAAAGGCGAAAAGAACCCCGGAGAGGGGAGUGAAAUAGAUCCUGAAACCGUAUGCGUACAAGCAGUGGGAGCCCACUUUGUUGGGUGACUGCGUACCUUUUGUAUAAUGGGUCAGCGACUUAUUUUCAGUGGCGAGCUUAACCGAAUAGGGGAGGCGUAGCGAAAGCGAGUCUUAAUAGGGCGUCUAGUCGCUGGGAAUAGACCCGAAACCGGGCGAUCUAUCCAUGGGCAGGUUGAAGGUUAGGUAACACUGACUGGAGGACCGAACCGACUACCGUUGAAAAGUUAGCGGAUGACCUGUGGAUCGGAGUGAAAGGCUAAUCAAGCUCGGAGAUAGCUGGUUCUCCUCGAAAGCUAUUUAGGUAGCGCCUCAUGUAUCACUGUAGGGGGUAGAGCACUGUUUCGGCUAGGGGGUCAUCCCGACUUACCAAACCGAUGCAAACUCCGAAUACCUACAAGUGCCGAGCAUGGGAGACACACGGCGGGUGCUAACGUCCGUCGUGAAAAGGGAAACAACCCAGACCGUCAGCUAAGGUCCCAAAGUUAUGGUUAAGUGGGAAACGAUGUGGGAAGGCUUAGACAGCUAGGAGGUUGGCUUAGAAGCAGCCACCCUUUAAAGAAAGCGUAAUAGCUCACUAGUCGAGUCGGCCUGCGCGGAAGAUGUAACGGGGCUCAAACCAUACACCGAAGCUACGGGUAUCACGUAAGUGAUGCGGUAGAGGAGCGUUCUGUAAGCCUGUGAAGGUGAGUUGAGAAGCUUGCUGGAGGUAUCAGAAGUGCGAAUGCUGACAUGAGUAACGACAAUGGGUGUGAAAAACACCCACGCCGAAAGACCAAGGUUUCCUGCGCAACGUUAAUCGACGCAGGGUUAGUCGGUCCCUAAGGCGAGGCUGAAAAGCGUAGUCGAUGGAAAACAGGUUAAUAUUCCUGUACUUCUGGUUAUUGCGAUGGAGGGACGGAGAAGGCUAGGCCAGCUUGGCGUUGGUUGUCCAAGUUUAAGGUGGUAGGCUGAAAUCUUAGGUAAAUCCGGGGUUUCAAGGCCGAGAGCUGAUGACGAGUUACCCUCUGGGUGACGAAGUGGUUGAUGCCAUGCUUCCAAGAAAAGCUUCUAAGCUUCAGAUAACCAGGAACCGUACCCCAAACCGACACAGGUGGUUGGGUAGAGAAUACCAAGGCGCUUGAGAGAACUCGGGUGAAGGAACUAGGCAAAAUGGCACCGUAACUUCGGGAGAAGGUGCGCCGGUGAGGGUCAAGCACUUGCUGCGUAAGCCCACGCCGGUCGAAGAUACCAGGCCGCUGCGACUGUUUAUUAAAAACACAGCACUCUGCAAACACGAAAGUGGACGUAUAGGGUGUGACGCCUGCCCGGUGCCGGAAGGUUAAUUGAUGGGGUUAGCUAACGCGAAGCUCUUGAUCGAAGCCCCGGUAAACGGCGGCCGUAACUAUAACGGUCCUAAGGUAGCGAAAUUCCUUGUCGGGUAAGUUCCGACCUGCACGAAUGGCGUAACGAUGGCGGCGCUGUCUCCACCCGAGACUCAGUGAAAUUGAAAUCGCUGUGAAGAUGCAGUGUAUCCGCGGCUAGACGGAAAGACCCCGUGAACCUUUACUAUAGCUUUGCACUGGACUUUGAAUUUGCUUGUGUAGGAUAGGUGGGAGGCUUUGAAGCGUGGACGCCAGUCUGCGUGGAGCCAUCCUUGAAAUACCACCCUGGCAACUUUGAGGUUCUAACUCAGGUCCGUUAUCCGGAUCGAGGACAGUGUAUGGUGGGUAGUUUGACUGGGGCGGUCUCCUCCUAAAGAGUAACGGAGGAGUACGAAGGUGCGCUCAGACCGGUCGGAAAUCGGUCGUAGAGUAUAAAGGCAAAAGCGCGCUUGACUGCGAGACAGACACGUCGAGCAGGUACGAAAGUAGGUCUUAGUGAUCCGGUGGUUCUGUAUGGAAGGGCCAUCGCUCAACGGAUAAAAGGUACUCCGGGGAUAACAGGCUGAUACCGCCCAAGAGUUCAUAUCGACGGCGGUGUUUGGCACCUCGAUGUCGGCUCAUCACAUCCUGGGGCUGAAGCCGGUCCCAAGGGUAUGGCUGUUCGCCAUUUAAAGUGGUACGCGAGCUGGGUUUAGAACGUCGUGAGACAGUUCGGUCCCUAUCUGCCGUGGACGUUUGAGAUUUGAGAGGGGCUGCUCCUAGUACGAGAGGACCGGAGUGGACGAACCUCUGGUGUUCCGGUUGUCACGCCAGUGGCAUUGCCGGGUAGCUAUGUUCGGAAAAGAUAACCGCUGAAAGCAUCUAAGCGGGAAACUUGCCUCAAGAUGAGAUCUCACUGGAGCCUUGAGCUCCCUGAAGGGCCGUCGAAGACUACGACGUUGAUAGGCAGGGUGUGUAAGCGCUGUGAGGCGUUGAGCUAACCUGUACUAAUUGCCCGUGAGGCUUGACCAUAUAACACCCAAGCAAUUUGG
rnacentral:rRNA from 1 species